rnacentral:rRNA from 1 species
GACGAACGCUGGCGGCGUGCUUAACACAUGCAAGUCGAACGGAAAGGCCCUGCUUUUGUGGGGUGCUCGAGUGGCGAACGGGUGAGUCACACGUGAGUAACCUGCCCUUGACUUUGGGAUAACUUCAGGAAACUGGGUCUAAUACCGGAUAGGAGCUCCUGCUGCAUGGUGGGGGUUGGAAAGUUUCGGCGGUUGGGGAUGGACUCGCGGCUUAUCAGCUUGUGGGUGGGGUAGUGGCUUACCAAGGCUUUGACGGGUAGCCGGCAUGAGAGGGUGACCGGCCACAUUGGGACUGAGAUACGGCGCAGACUCCUACGGGAGGCAGCAGUGGGGAAUAUUGCACAAUGGGCGGAAGCCUGAUGCAGCAACGCCGCGUGCGGGAUGACGGCCUUCGGGUUGUAAACCGCUUUCGCCUGUGACGAAGCGUGAGUGACGGUAAUGGGUAAAGAAGCACCGGCUAACUACGUG